GAGGCGAACCGGGGGAACUGAAACAUCUAAGUACCCCGAGGAAAAGAAAUCAACCGAGAUUCCGAAAGUAGCGGCGAGCGAAAUUGGACUAGCCCUUAAGCUUUACACGCGUUAGACGAACGGUCUGGAAAGUCCGACGAUACAGGGUGAUAGUCCCGUAGUUGACGACGUGUGUUCAGUGAAAUCGAGUAGGGCGGGACACGUGAUAUCCUGUCUGAAUAUGGGGGGACCAUCCUCCAAGGCUAAAUACUACUGACUGACCGAUAGUGAACCAGUACCGUGAGGGAAAGGCGAAAAGAACCCCUGUGAGGGGAGUGAAAUAGAACCUGAAACCGUGUACGUACAAGCAGUAGGAGCAGGCUUUGUCCUGUGACUGCGUACCUUUUGUAUAAUGGGUCAGCGACUUAUAUUCAGUGGCAAGGUUAACCAUCUAGGGGAGCCGUAGGGAAACCGAGUCUUAACUGGGCGUUCAGUCUCUGGAUAUAGACCCGAAACCAGGUGAUCUAGCCAUGGGCAGGUUGAAGGUUGAGUAACAUCAACUGGAGGACCGAACCGACUAAUGUUGAAAAAUUAGCGGAUGACUUGUGGCUAGGGGUGAAAGGCCAAUCAAACCUGGAGAUAGCUGGUUCUCCCCGAAAGCUAUUUAGGUAGCGCCUCGGACGAAUACUACUGGGGGUAGAGCACUGUUAAGGCUAGGGGGUCAUCCCGACUUACCAACCCUUUGCAAACUCCGAAUACCAGUAAGUACUAUCCGGGAGACACACGGCGGGUGCUAACGUCCGUCGUGGAGAGGGAAACAACCCAGACCGCCAGCUAAGGUCCCAAAUUACUACUAAGUGGGAAACGAUGUGGGAAGGCUCAGACAGCCAGGAUGUUGGCUUAGAAGCAGCCAUCAUUUAAAGAAAGCGUAAUAGCUCACUGGUCGAGUCGGCCUGCGCGGAAGAUGUAACGGGGCUAAGUAGUAAACCGAAGCUGCGGCAAUGUGCUUUUGCACAUUGGGUAGGGGAGCGUUCUGUAAGCGGUUGAAGGUGUGUGGUAACGCAUGCUGGACGUAUCAGAAGUGCGAAUGCUGACAUGAGUAACGAUAAAGGGGGUGAAAAACCUCCUCGCCGGAAGACCAAGGGUUCCUGUCCAACGUUAAUCGGGGCAGGGUAAGUCGACCCCUAAGGCGAGGCCGAAAGGCGUAGUCGAUGGGAAACGGGUUAAUAUUCCCGUACUUCUUACAAUUGCGAUGGGGGGACGGAGAAGGCUAGGUGGGCCUGGCGACGGUUGUCCAGGUUCAAGUGCGUAGGCUUAAGAGUUAGGUAAAUCCGGCUCUUUUUAAGGCUGAGACACGAUGUCGAGCACCUACGGGUGUGAAGUCAUUGAUGCCAUGCUUCCAGGAAAAGCCUCUAAGCUUCAGAUUGUAAGGAAUCGUACCCCAAACCGACACAGGUGGUCGGGUAGAGAAUACCAAGGCGCUUGAGAGAACUCGGGUGAAGGAACUAGGCAAAAUGGUACCGUAACUUCGGGAGAAGGUACGCUCUUGAUGGUGAAGUCCCUUGCGGAUGGAGCUGACGAGAGUCGCAGAUACCAGGUGGCUGCAACUGUUUAUUAAAAACACAGCACUGUGCAAAAUCGUAAGAUGACGUAUACGGUGUGACGCCUGCCCGGUGCCGGAAGGUUAAUUGAUGGGGUUAGACUUCGGUCGAAGCUCUUGAUCGAAGCCCCGGUAAACGGCGGCCGUAACUAUAACGGUCCUAAGGUAGCGAAAUUCCUUGUCGGGUAAGUUCCGACCUGCACGAAUGGCGUAAUGAUGGCCACGCUGUCUCCACCCGAGACUCAGUGAAAUUGAAAUCGCUGUGAAGAUGCAGUGUACCCGCGGCUAGACGGAAAGACCCCGUGAACCUUUACUACAGCUUGGCACUGAACAUUGACCCUACAUGUGUAGGAUAGGUGGGAGGCUUUGAAGCACGUACGCCAGUAUGUGUGGAGCCGUCCUUGAAAUACCACCCUUGUAGUGUUGAUGUUCUAACGUCGACCCCUAAUCGGGGUUGCGGACAGUGCCUGGUGGGUAGUUUGACUGGGGCGGUCUCCUCCCAAAGAGUAACGGAGGAGCACGAAGGUGGGCUAAUCACGGUUGGACAUCGUGAGGUUAGUGCAAUGGCAUAAGCCCGCUUGACUGCGAGAAUGACAAUUCGAGCAGGUGCGAAAGCAGGUCAUAGUGAUCCGGUGGUUCUGAAUGGAAGGGCCAUCGCUCAACGGAUAAAAGGUACUCCGGGGAUAACAGGCUGAUACCGCCCAAGAGUUCAUAUCGACGGCGGUGUUUGGCACCUCGAUGUCGGCUCAUCACAUCCUGGGGCUGAAGUCGGUCCCAAGGGUAUGGCUGUUCGCCAUUUAAAGUGGUACGCGAGCUGGGUUUAGAACGUCGUGAGACAGUUCGGUCCCUAUCUGCCGUGGGCGUUGGAAGAUUGAAGGGGGCUGCUCCUAGUACGAGAGGACCGGAGUGGACGAACCUCUGGUGUUCGGGUUGUGUCGCCAGACGCAUUGCCCGGUAGCUAAGUUCGGAAUCGAUAACCGCUGAAAGCAUCUAAGCGGGAAGCGAGCCCUGAGAUGAGUCUUCCCUGAUACUUUAAGUAUCCUAAAGGGUUGUCGGAGACUACGACGUUGAUAGGUCAGGUGUGUAAGUGCUGUGAGGCAUUGAGCUAACUGAUACUAAUUGCCCGUGAGGCUUAACCAUACAACACCCAAGGGGUUU
rnacentral:rRNA from 1 species